rnacentral:rRNA from 1 species
UACGGGGGGAGCAAGCGUUGUUCGGAUUUACUGGGCGUAAAGGGCGCGUAGGCGGCCACCGCAAGUCGGUUGUGAAAUCUCUGGGCUUAACCCAGAAAGGUCAACCGAUACUGCGGGGCUAGAGUGCAGAAGGGGCAACUGGAAUUCUCGGUGUAGCGGUGAAAUGCGCAGAUAUCAGGAAGAACACCUAUGGCGAAGGCAGCUCUCUGGGACGGUACUGACGCUGAGACGCGAAAGCGUGGGGAGCGAACAGG